UGGCGGCCUCGGGUCCAUCCCGAAGCCACGCCCCUCUGAGGGUCG
rnacentral:rRNA from 1 species